ensembl:lncRNA
AUAAAUACUUAUAUUAAAAAAAAAGUCUGCGCUAAAUUAUUUUAUGUUUCUAAUUUAUAAUAUUUUGCUAUGAUUGACCUUUAAAUGAUGUAUUAUUACAGUAGGCAUAAAAGUUUCACAGUUCCCUUUGAGAAUUUCUAGUAUCUGCUGCUGACAACUUAUUUCCCCUUAUAUGGAGCCGUUGUUUUAUUUAAGAGUCCAUAUCUUCUUUUUUUUUUCUUUUUUAAAUAUAGUAGACACUCCACUGAAAAAUGUAAUAAUUGUUACAGUCAGUUUUUAGAGAAUUGCUGUAGCGGUCCCUGUGUAAAAGAGAUUUAAUAGUCUGCAUUGGGAAAAUGUGAAUAUAAAUUUUAUAUGAACAUAAAAUUCAGAAUUGGGAUCUGGCCCACCAAUUAAAGAUAUUACACCUGAUUAAUUACUUAUUUUAGUGCCUGGGGUCUUCUCCUCAAACGCACAUCUGCAUCUACCUUUUGUCUUUAUGCAGUCGCAAACAGCCAGGCCUAUAUGAUGCACUCCAUUGUAUAGCUGGGUAACAAUGGCACCAGCUGUUUCUGCAGACACAAAAAGUUGCGUGUGUGUGUGCUAAUAUUAAUAAACACACACGCGCACACGUAUACACACUGGGUGUGUUUCCCAGACGCAGAUUCCCGCCCUGCUUCCUAUCCGCGCUCAGCCGCUCACACGGUGCCUCCGUUACAGAUCUAUUCUUACAACUGCCUGAACCCCAUCCACGUUGUGUGAAAUCGGUGCGACCUCUCCGUCACAACCGACGCCACGCCGACCUCGUGACUGCCAAGACAUCUGCCCAAUAGUAGCUUGAAUUCUACGUCAUUCAGUCUUUCAAAGUCCAGUCAAAAACGGGUGGGCGGGAUUUCCGUGGGCCUGGUAUUCACGUUUGGUUGUAAAGGUAAGCCCUGGAUGGGAUUUUUAUUUUUUUUUAGUUUUCUUUUUCUUUUAUUUAAUCUUCACGUUUGGAUUUGAUAUGGUUUCAUACGUGCUGGUGUGCUACUGUGUCCGCUAAAAUAAACAGUGCUUGCCGGGCAGUGGUCGCCCAUUGCUCGCUUGUGUACAGCAGUGUAAAGUAUUCUAAGCAAGAGAACAACGGUGAUUUCCCUGUAGUACAGCAAUUGUAUAUAUAUUCUGAUUAAUGACAGUUAAAUAGUGGCUUUGACGAGGCACGUUAAAAACUGUCAGGGCAGCCUGAAACGUUUUUGUCUCUCUAUUACUCCUCUAUUGCUAAGUUACACGGUUGUAACUUUGCUUUCUGCAACAAUUUAGCCGCCUGUUCCCAUAAACAGGGGGUCAAUUAAAUGCUACUUAUAAGAAAAAUAUAAAAAUAAUUGAUGGCUAUUUAUAGCUAACUCAGGUGGAUCUGUUUUACCGUUCACGGUUAGAUGUCUUUACUGAAUGCAUUCUGCAUACUAAACACUGCUGCUUAUGGAAACACGCGUGGAGAC